AAAAGCCUCAACUUCAGGCAUUAGGCCGCCUGAGGAAAUGUUGAACCCUGGCUUAUCAAGUUUCCUGUUCAAGAAUGGGCCAACUUGUGAAGAAGAAGAAGCUCCUCCUAUACACAUGGCUACGAGUGCCAGGAAGCUCGGCGAGCCGAUUCGAGCCGCCAUUCCCUUACAUCCUCCCUACCACCCUCCUGAGCCGAGAGCGCCUUGUCCCAUAGGCAAGGAAUACCUCUGCUCAGGUCACUACUUGUCUACGCCAGCUUCUGGAGAGCACAGGGCACCUUCUGUGGUAAGCGGAAAGGUUUGCUUGUAAUUGGCUAAGAGCCCAUAUGUUAGUGAUUUUCACUGCUGGCGAUUAAACCUAGAGCCUU
rnacentral:lncRNA from 1 species